rnacentral:rRNA from 1 species
AGCGUACACGGUGGAUGCCCUGGCAGUCAGAGGCGAUGAAGGGCGUGCUAAUCUGCGAUAAGCGCCGGUAAGGUGAUAUGAACCGUUAUAACCGGCGAUACCCGAAUGGGGAAACCCAGUGUGAUUCGUCACACUAUCAUUAACUGAAUCCAUAGGUUAAUGAGGCGAACCGGGGGAACUGAAACAUCUAAGUACCCCGAGGAAAAGAAAUCAACCGAGAUUCCCCCAGUAGCGGCGAGCGAACGGGGAGGAGCCCAGAGCCUGAAUCAGCAUGUGUGUUAGUGGAAGCGUCUGGAAAGGUGCGCGAUACAGGGUGACAGCCCCGUACACAAAAGCGCAUGUGCUGUGAGCUCGAUGAGUAGGGCGGGACACGUGGUAUCCUGUCUGAAUAUGGGGGGACCAUCCUCCAAGGCUAAAUACUCCUGACUGACCGAUAGUGAACCAGUACCGUGAGGGAAAGGCGAAAAGAACCCCGGCGAGGGGAGUGAAAAAGAACCUGAAACCGUGUACGUACAAGCAGUGGGAGCACAGGUUUACCUGUGUGACUGCGUACCUUUUGUAUAAUGGGUCAGCGACUUAUAUUCUGUAGCAAGGUUAACCGUAUAGGGGAGCCGUAGGGAAACCGAGUCUUAACCGGGCGUUAAGUUGCAGGGUAUAGACCCGAAACCCGGUGAUCUAGCCAUGGGCAGGUUGAAGGUUGGGUAACACUAACUGGAGGACCGAACCGACUAAUGUUGAAAAAUUAGCGGAUGACCUGUGGCUGGGGGUGAAAGGCCAAUCAAACCGGGAGAUAGCUGGUUCUCCCCGAAAGCUAUUUAGGUAGCGCCUCGUGAAUUCAUCUCCGGGGGUAGAGCACUGUUUCGGCUAGGGGGCCAUCCCGGCUUACCAACCCGAUGCAAACUGCGAAUACCGGAGAAUGUUAUCACGGGAGACACACGGCGGGUGCUAACGUCCGUCGUGAAGAGGGAAACAACCCAGACCGCCAGCUAAGGUCCCAAAGUCAUGGUUAAGUGGGAAACGAUGUGGGAAGGCCCAGACAGCCAGGAUGUUGGCUUAGAAGCAGCCAUCAUUUAAAGAAAGCGUAAUAGCUCACUGGUCGAGUCGGCCUGCGCGGAAGAUGUAACGGGGCUAAACCAUGCACCGAAGCUGCGGCAGCGAACGUAUCACCCAAGACAACUUUACGGAGUUGACGAUUGACGGAGCGAAGCGACGUCAAAGCGUUCAUUAAAGUCGAGUUGGCUUAGGGAUACGUUCGUUGGGUAGGGGAGCGUUCUGUAAGCCUGUGAAGGUGUGUCGUGAGGCAUGCUGGAGGUAUCAGAAGUGCGAAUGCUGACAUAAGUAACGAUAAAGCGGGUGAAAAGCCCGCUCGCCGGAAGACCAAGGGUUCCUGUCCAACGUUAAUCGGGGCAGGGUGAGUCGACCCCUAAGGCGAGGCCGAAAGGCGUAGUCGAUGGGAAACGGGUUAAUAUUCCCGUACUUGGUGUUACUGCGAAGGGGGGACGGAGAAGGCUAUGUUGGCCGGGCGACGGUUGUCCCGGUUUAAGCGUGUAGGUGUGUGUUCCAGGUAAAUCCGGUUCACUUUAACACUGAGGCGUGACGACGAGGCACUACGGUGCUGAAGCAACAAAUGCCCUGCUUCCAGGAAAAGCCUCUAAGCAUCAGGUAACAUCAAAUCGUACCCCAAACCGACACAGGUGGUCAGGUAGAGAAUACCAAGGCGCUUGAGAGAACUCGGGUGAAGGAACUAGGCAAAAUGGUGCCGUAACUUCGGGAGAAGGCACGCUGACACGUAGGUGAAGUGAUUUACUCAUGGAGCUGAAGUCAGUCGAAGAUACCAGCUGGCUGCAACUGUUUAUUAAAAACACAGCACUGUGCAAACACGAAAGUGGACGUAUACGGUGUGACGCCUGCCCGGUGCCGGAAGGUUAAUUGAUGGGGUCAGCGCAAGCGAAGCUCCUGAUCGAAGCCCCGGUAAACGGCGGCCGUAACUAUAACGGUCCUAAGGUAGCGAAAUUCCUUGUCGGGUAAGUUCCGACCUGCACGAAUGGCGUAAUGAUGGCCAGGCUGUCUCCACCCGAGACUCAGUGAAAUUGAACUCGCUGUGAAGAUGCAGUGUACCCGCGGCAAGACGGAAAGACCCCGUGAACCUUUACUAUAGCUUGACACUGAACAUUGAGCCUUGAUGUGUAGGAUAGGUGGGAGGCUUUGAAGUGUGGACGCCAGUCUGCAUGGAGCCGACCUUGAAAUACCACCCUUUAAUGUUUGAUGUUCUAACGUGGACCCGUAAUCCGGGUUGCGGACAGUGUCUGGUGGGUAGUUUGACUGGGGCGGUCUCCUCCUAAAGAGUAACGGAGGAGCACGAAGGUUGGCUAAUCCUGGUCGGACAUCAGGAGGUUAGUGCAAUGGCAUAAGCCAGCUUGACUGCGAGCGUGACGGCGCGAGCAGGUGCGAAAGCAGGUCAUAGUGAUCCGGUGGUUCUGAAUGGAAGGGCCAUCGCUCAACGGAUAAAAGGUACUCCGGGGAUAACAGGCUGAUACCGCCCAAGAGUUCAUAUCGACGGCGGUGUUUGGCACCUCGAUGUCGGCUCAUCACAUCCUGGGGCUGAAGUAGGUCCCAAGGGUAUGGCUGUUCGCCAUUUAAAGUGGUACGCGAGCUGGGUUUAGAACGUCGUGAGACAGUUCGGUCCCUAUCUGCCGUGGGCGCUGGAGAACUGAGGGGGGCUGCUCCUAGUACGAGAGGACCGGAGUGGACGCAUCACUGGUGUUCGGGUUGUCAUGCCAAUGGCACUGCCCGGUAGCUAAAUGCGGAAGAGAUAAGUGCUGAAAGCAUCUAAGCACGAAACUUGCCCCGAGAUGAGUUCU